rnacentral:SRP_RNA from 1 species
GGUCGGGUCCUGUGCAACUCUAACCUGUGAACCGAGUCAGGGCCGGGAGGCAGCAGCUCUCAGCGGAACUUAGAGUGUGCCGCAGACAGCCUGGCCAUC